AUGCCUGAAACAAACGAGAAAACCAGCAAGAGAGCUGAAGAAAACAGAAAACCAGCAGAGGUGCUGAAAACAAACGAGAAAACCAGAGAGAGCAAGAGAAUCAGCCCACCAACACCUGCCAGCCUGAAAUCUCCAAAAGCUCUGAGGAGAAGUGGCGACAACAACAAACCAGAAAGAAAAGUUAAUCAUCCAACCAAAGAAUCUGUUGUGGAAUUAAAACCAGAGGAAGAACUGGAGCCGGCCAUAACCAUCUGCCAGGUGGCUCCAGAAACCCCUGAUAUUGACAUCUGUCAGAACCAGCAAGAGAGUGCUGACGUAAACCAGGAAAACCAGCAAGAGAGUGCUGAAACAAAUGAGGAAAACCAGCAAGAGAGUGCUGAAAAAAAUGAAGAAAACCAGCAAGAGAGUGCUGAAAUGAACGAAGAAAACCUCAAAGUCAUCGAUGAGGAGAUAGCAGAGGAAUCAGGCACCAACAACUGUCAGCCUGAAAUCUCCAAAAUCUCUGAGGAGCAAGUGGGCGACAACAACAACCAGGCAUAUCAACAUCUACUUGCAACUAAAUACCCGAAGCCACGGAGCUAUGUACAAGUCCUGGAGCCCAUCGGAGAGGACAGCUACGGUGUCAUUUAUAAUGGAUGGCACCAUAAAGAACAAAAGGAGGUGGCAGUUACCAUCAUGAAAGAUGAAGAGAAGCAGAAAGAAGUCCUGAAUGAACUGCAGGUUCUAGAAACCAUUUCUGGCCAUGGAAACAUCAUUGGCUAUUACGGGGCAUAUUUCCAACCUGCCUCUGUGAAAAUGCCAGAAUAUGAGGGACUGUGGAUUUCAAUGGAGCGUUACAGUGGGACAUCGGUAAAACAGCUCUUUAACAGCAACAUAUCCCACUCCUUGAAAGAGGGCUGGAUUGCUUAUACCUGCAAGGAGGUAUUAAAGGGCCUGUGCCACCUUGAUAAGCACAAGGUGAUUCAUCAUGACUUAAGGCCAAACAACAUCAUGAUAACAUCUGAUGCAGAAGUGAAGAUCAGUGAUGUCAGCUAUGCCACCAUUGGUGAAAGCAGUCAUAGUACUGCAGGUGCUCUUCCAUACAUGGCACCAGAAGUACUGGUCAACACUAACUAUAAGGUCAUAGAAUACACCUCUAAGGCUGAUGUAUGGUCACUGGGAAUCUCCGCCCUUGAAAUGGCAGAAGGAUACUACCCAUUCAGCAGAUUUCCCAGCCAUGCACGCAUCAAAAGAAUAAUGCAUGGUCCUGCUCCAGUAUUGCUAUGGGACUCAUGGAGUGACAACUUCCAUGAUUUUAUAAAGAAAUGCCUCCAGAAAAAUCCGGAUUGGAGGCCAUCUGCAGAGCAGCUACUAUCACACCCCUUCGUUCGUAACAUCUGGAAUGAAAGGGGUGUGAAAAGUAAUAUUAAGUGGCAUCUACAGAGAGGUAAGGGAACUGUUGAUUCUCAUUAUAGUUCACUUGAUGUAUAGACCAUAUCCAUCUACUGCUCUUAUUCAUACAAUAUUCUCUGGCUUUCAUAAAUAUACUAUAAUUCUGUAACUAAAGCGCCCAUAAUAAAGGGUGAGAUUGUAUUAGGGCAGAGGUCACUAAACUAGGCCAAAUCUAUGAGAGAGAUAAAUAUGAUGAGAUAGGAGAAAAUGUUAUUAGUUGUAGUAGUUAUAGUUUACCUUUAAAUUAGAAGCAAAGGGAAUGAGAUAUAAAUAAUAGUAAAUAAAUAUUUAAAAAAAUUAACAAAUUUCAGAAUUAUACACACACCAUCUCCAUGGCUAACACUGAGCAAUCUCUCCUUAGAAAUGAAGCACUGAAGUAAGAAAACAUCAUGGCAGCCAUCGGGGGAGGGACGGGGGCACAUGUGCAGGGGCCCUAUGUCAUCUUUGGGCCCCGCAGAAAAACUUGGUCCCGAUGGCAGCUAGAAGAUUGACAACAGCGAUUCACAAGAUUGACAUCAAUAUGAUAUUUUAAAUAAUAAACAUCUUAAAAAUA